GUCACUUUGCCGGAGUGGUUAACGGGAUCGCCUGCUACCAUUGGUAGACCUGAAGCGGUUGGGCUUUGCCCGCGUGUGUUCGAAUCGCACAGGUGACG
rnacentral:tRNA from 1 species